ACCAGCAGCUUCAUCACCUUGUAGCCUGGUCUCAUCAGAUCUCAAAAGCUGAGCAAAGACUGGCCUGGCCAGUAUUGGGGUGGGAGACAUCUAAGGGAAGCCAGGCUGCUGCUGUCA
rnacentral:rRNA from 1 species